GAAGCCGCCCGGAGGAGCCGGCGCCGCCGCAGCAGGAGCAGGCCCCGGCGGCAGCAGCGCCACCGGGAGGGCAACCCCGCCGCGCCCGGAGGAGGAGCCGGAGGACUGCCCUUGGCCGUGGGCCCCGGAGAGCUCGAUGCCCAGGUGGGGGAGGGGAGAGAAGACGCCCGGAGAAGCCGGCGCCACCGCAGCAGGAGCAGGCCCCGGCGGCGGCAGCGCCGCUGGGCAGGGCAACCCCGCUGCACCCGGAGGAGGAGGAGCCGGAGGGCUGCCCUCGGCCGUCAGCCCCAGAUUUGUAUUUGACCCAGAAUGCCUCUACCUACCUCCUCAUUUCGUGUUUCCCAAAUAAUAAGAAGUUUAUCAGAUCCUCCAGAAAUCAAUUGUGCCUCAUAUGCUGCGAGAGAGGGAAACAAACAAGGCUGAGCAAUCCAAAUCAAAACUACUUUGACUUUCAGGAGUUCUUCUUGCCAAUGGUCCCAUAAUCUCCCAAAGAGAGGGAAUUAAAGGCUCUUACAACUCUAAAGGAAGCAGACCCUGAAUCUCUGGC